CAGCAGCCGCGGUAAUACGAAGGGUGCAAGCGUUAAUCGGAAUUACUGGGCGUAAAGCGUGCGUAGGCGGUGAGUUAAGUCUGCUGUGAAAUCCCCGGGCUCAACCUGGGAAUGGCAGUGGAUACUGGCAAGCUAGAGUGUGUCAGAGGAUGGUGGAAUUCCCGGUGUAGCGGUGAAAUGCGUAGAGAUCGGGAGGAACAUCAGUGGCGGAGGCGGCCAUCUGGGACAACACUGACGCUGAGGCACGAAAGCGUGGGGAGCAGACAGGAUUAGAGACCCCCGUAGUCCCUGUCUCUUAUAC
rnacentral:rRNA from 1 species